rnacentral:rRNA from 1 species
UACGGGGGGGAGCAAGCGUUGUUCGGAUUUACUGGGCGUAAAGGGCGCGUAGGCGGCCACCGCAAGUCGACUGUGAAAUCUCCGGGCUUAACCCGGAAAGGUCAGCCGAUACUGCGGGGCUAGAGUGCAGAAGGGGCAACUGGAAUUCUCGGUGUAGCGGUGAAAUGCGUAGAUAUCGAGAGGAACACCUGCGGCGAAGGCGGGUUGCUGGGCUGACACUGACGCUGAUGUGCGAAAGCGUAGGGGAGCGAACGGG